rnacentral:lncRNA from 1 species
UUCAUGAAUCGUCACAAGUUUCACAAAUCAAAGACACAGUUGACGACAUGUUUCGCAAAUAAAGUACAUAGUUCAACACAAGUUUCACAAAUUAAGGACACAGUUCAUCACAUGUUUCUCGAAGCGAAGGCAUUGUUCAUAACUAGUUUUUCAAAAGUAAGGCCUUAUUGAGUCACACCGGCCAUUUUCCUUUCUUGUCAUGUGCAUGAUCCUCCUCUUGGGCUUCACGGGCCCUUGCAAGCUUUAUUGCUCUCUCCUCUUGACGAGCAAUCUUCUCCUUGCGUGCUCUCUCCUCUUCAUGCUUCUUUCGCUCCAUCCUCUCCUUUUCACGACGCUCUUCAUCCAAGCCUCUCUGUAAUGCUUCUUCAAACAACCGCUGCCUCCUUAGACAAUCUCGAUGUUGAUCUUUCUUAACAUCUUCUGGCACAUCAUGAUCUAUCCAUCUGAAGUACUUACAAAGUGGAGGCGGCGACUACGUACGUACAAAUAAAGAACAAAUGUGGUCAUUAGUAAGAUAGAUUCAAUGGUUGACGACAUGUUUGAACUUGAACAACUUACCGGCGGUACAUCAUAGGCGUGAGCUGGACGAGGACGAUCGUAGGCAUAGUUGGG